rnacentral:rRNA from 1 species
UUAGGAAUCUUGCGCAAUGGGCGAAAGCCUGACGCAGCGACGCCGCGUGGAGGAGGAAGUCCUUCGGGAUGUAAACUCCUUUUUCCGGGGAAGAAACAAAUGACGGUACCCGGUGAAUAAGCCCCGGCUAACUACGUGCCAGCAGCCGCGGUAAUACGUAGGGGGCGAGCGUUGUCCGAAGUUACUGGGCGUAAAGCGCGCGUAGGCGGGGGGUUAAGUGAGAGGUGAAAGGCUGAGGCUCAACCUCAUGCAGUGCCUCUCAUACUGGCCUUCUUGAGGGCGGUAGGGAGAAGUGGAAUGGCUGGUGUAGCGGUGAAAUGCGUAGAUAUCAGUCGGAACACCGGUGGCGAAGGCGGCUUCUUGGGCCGUUCCUGACGCUGAGGCGCGAAAGCUGGGGGAGCGAA